UUAUAAUUAUAAGAGGAGAGCAAGUUUGUUUGCACUGCAUCACCAUUUCUUUCAACAAAAACCAUCAACUAAUAACUAACUGACUUGAUCUUUCAUGGCAUAUGAAUUGCCUUUUUCAUCUUCUCCUCCCAAAACACCCUUCCCUUUCUCUUAAUUCCGGAUUUCCCCCUCCUCUCCUCUUUCCUUUAACCGUUCGCGCCACUGCCGCAUCCUCCCUCACUCUUCAACAGUAUUUAACUAAAAGAUUGGAGGCUGAGUUGUUCUGUUGCCCAAUUUGCUAUUAACUGCUCGCAAGAAAAGGACCUUCUGAUCUUAACUUAUAAGUAGUUUGAUUUGAUUUGAUUAUAUGUAAACUCUUGAGUUCAAGAUGAAGUUAAAUUUUUUGAAUUGCAAACCAGUUGGCCAGCUAUUUAUCGGUCUGGUUUCAAGUGUGAUAAGUGUGACAGGUCGUAUUCCAGUAAAGAUAACUAUCUUGAUCUCACUGUCAUUGCUGGGUUGAGGACUAUGUUGAAGUCAAACCAGCUUCUAUUGACCUAUUCCUGAAUUCAUUUUAUGUUUUGAGUUAUAUAUAAUUUGUUGGAGGAAAUGCUUCUGUACCCUUGCUAGGAGUCCAUUUGUAUCCUUUUUGUAUGAAAGGGGUGGCGUCAGAAUUUCAAUCGAAGUGGCUUCCCUGGUCCUGAUGAAGAGUUCAAAAUGGCUUAGGAAUACUUCAAACCUGUGGAAGGUGGCCUUCUAGUAGAUGUUAGCUGUGGGAGUGGUCUGUUCACCAGAUUAUUCGUGGAAUCAGGGACAUAUUCUGGCGUCAUUGCUCUUGAUUUUUCAGAGAAUAUUCUUCGUCGAACUUAUGAUUUCAUUAAGCAAGAUAAUACCAUUUUGACUCCUCAAGUUUAUACCUCUUUCUCAGAUUCCCAAAUUUGAAGUCACUGUAACAUCAGAUAACCCAGUGUUGAAGUUAUGCAUUUUAAAAUAAUGAUAAAGAAAAGAACUGACUAGCACUUAUAUGUGAAGCAGUCUUGCUCUCGUCUGGGCAGAUGUUUCUAGGCUUCCCUUCUCAUCUGGUUCUGUUGAUGCUGUUCAUGCUGCGGCAGUCUUGCACUGCUGGCCUUCUCCUUCCAAUGCUUCAAGUGUUGUCUCUCCCUGACUCCCCAGAAGUGCCAAAUUGAUUGUCGUUGGAAAAUGAGGACCUAGUCCUCUAUCUACAUUAAGUCUAACCUAUUUAUAUAUGUAACACUUCUUUUUUCUUUUCUUGUUGGGCCCAAAAACUGGUUUAGGGAAAAACUCUGUCCAGAACUUGUUUAACAUAUUGAUGAUCAUUAUAUUCAAAAUAUCAUCUCCAUGAAAUAUGAUGUGACAGAUGGAGCUGUUUCGCAUUGUUGAGCAAUAUUUCAUAUUGGUCUAGCUAGUUAUUAUUCAUUGAAGAAACCAUGGACUCCUCUAAGUCUUGUAAUUGUGACCAUGAAACUGUUGCCCUUCAUGGGAGCUGAAUAAGGAUAUGCAAGGAUGGUAAAAAGGCUUGACUGAUUGUGAAAAGUAUAGAUUGACUGCAAUAAUACUUUUGGGAUCUUGACAAUUGUGAUUGGUGUUCAUCCAGGUUGUGGAUCAUAUGCUGCAAAGCAGAACAAGGAAACCCGCAGCUGCUAUGAGCCAUAAGUCAGUAGGUCUUGCAUGGGAUUCGUGCUGCUUUAAGUGACUCCAUUCUUUCUCAAUGACUGGAAAAUUAUGAGCACUAGUGGCAGGGUAUUUGUUGGAACCACUUUUCUUAGAUACACUUCUUCUACUUCCUGGAUAACAAGAGCUCUGAGACAGAGGAAUCUGCGGAACUAUAGUUAUUUAACGGAAGAAGAGACUGAAGACGUGUGCACACCAUGGGGUCUCACCAACUACACAAGCAAAGUUCAACAAUCAUUCAUCUUGUUUUCUGCUCAGAAGCCUUGAAACUAGGUGAUUGAUUUGAAUUACAUAUUCUCCAUACUUGGUUGUAUCAUUACAUGACGGUCAGAGUUUAUUUAUUUGUAUAAAACACAUAUAAAUUUAGUAAACAAUUCCUGAAAAAGUGAUAACUUGGGAACAUGUAAAUUAAUGGAAAAAACCCCGGAACUUGAAACUCAAA